AGCAGCCGCGGUAAUUCCAGCUCCAAUAGCGUAUAUUAAAGUUGUUGCAGUUAAAAAGCUCGUAGUUGAAUUUCGGGACCAAUUUGUUGGUCGUGCCUCGGUACGUACUGGUAUUAUUGGUUUCUCCCUUCUGAAGAACCUCGAUGCCAUUAAUUUGGUGUCGUGGGGAAUCAGGACUGUUACUUUGAAAAAAUUAGAGUGUUUAAAGCAAGCAUACGCUUGAAUACAUUAGCAUGGAAUAAUGAAAUAGGACGUUUGAUUCUAUUUUGUUGGUUUCUAGGAUCGACGUAAUGAUUAGUAGGGAUAGUUGGGGGCAUUAGUAUUCAAUUGUCAGAGGUGAAAUUCUUGGAUUUAUUGAAGACUAACUACUGCGAAAGCAUUUGCCAAGGAUGUUUUCAUUAAUCAAGAACGAAAGUUAGGGGAUCGAAGACGAUCAGAUACCGUCGUAGUCUUAACCAUAAACUAUGCCGACUAGGGAUCGGAUGAUGUUAAUUUUUUAAUGACUCAUUCGG
rnacentral:rRNA from 1 species